rnacentral:rRNA from 1 species
AAGGCGCGCGAUACAGGGUGACAGCCCCGUACACAAAAAUGCACAUGCUGUGAGCUCGAUGAGUAGGGCGGGACACGUGGUAUCCUGUCUGAAUAUGGGGGGACCAUCCUCCAAGGCUAAAUACUCCUGACUGACCGAUAGUGAACCAGUACCGUGAGGGAAAGGCGAAAAGAACCCCGGCGAGGGGAGUGAAAAAGAACCUGAAACCGUGUACGUACAAGCAGUGGGAGCACGCUUAGGCGUGUGACUGCGUACCUUUUGUAUAAUGGGUCAGCGACUUAUAUUCUGUAGCAAGGUUAACCGAAUAGGGGAGCCGAAGGGAAACCGAGUCUUAACUGGGCGUUAAGUUGCAGGGUAUAGACCCGAAACCCGGUGAUCUAGCCAUGGGCAGGUUGAAGGUUGGGUAACACUAACUGGAGGACCGAACCGACUAAUGUUGAAAAAUUAGCGGAUGACUUGUGGCUGGGGGUGAAAGGCCAAUCAAACCGGGAGAUAGCUGGUUCUCCCCGAAAGCUAUUUAGGUAGCGCCUCGUGAAUUCAUCUCCGGGGGUAGAGCACUGUUUCGGCAAGGGGGUCAUCCCGACUUACCAACCCGAUGCAAAC